UGCUUGAUUACAACUGUAAACUUCUCCGUUCCAUACCUCAAAAUGGCAAAUCAGAAACUUUCACAAGCAUUCAAGAGAUCCAAUCCAACAAUUCCCACUUCAAUAUUAAGCCAAGAAAUUGCAGAAAAAAUCACUAAAAUCCUUAUCAAAUCAGGUCUAAAACCCCUUGAGACCAAAUCAUCUCUGCUUUCGAAUCUCGAUUCUUACACAACCAAUCUUGUUCUCUCCAACCCAAAUCUCCCAACUCGUUCUUGCUUGAACUUCUUCAAAUGUCUUCAGAAAAACCAGUCCCUUAUUUGUCAUAAACCUGAUCUUCGAGCCCAUGUAAUCCUUAUUUCUAGACUUUUUAAGGCUAGAAAAUUUGUAGUGAUGAAGAAUGUGUUAACUUGCUAUGCGAUGGAUAAAAAUCUCCGGUGCUCAGUCUCAGACUUCGUUUCCUUGAUUGACAAUAGGUUUCAUGAACCAAAAUUUGUUGAAAAGUUAUGUGAUAUGUUGUUUAGAGUUUAUGUAGAUAAUAGCAUGUUCGAAGAGGGUUUUAAGGUUUUUGAUUAUAUGGUGCAUAAUGGGUUAAAGAUUGAUGAUAGGUCUUGUAUAGUGUGUUUACUUGCAUUGAAGAGAAGUGAUCAAAUGGUGAUGUCUUUGGGCUUCUUUAAAAAAAUGGUUGAGUUUAAGGUGGAUGUUACUGUCUAUUCUAUGACAAUUGUGAUUGAUGGCUUGUGUAAGAAAGGAAGGGUUGAGAGGGCUAAGGAUUUGAUGCUUGAAAUGACUGGUAAAGGGAUUAAACCAAACGUUGUCACGUAUAAUACCCUAGUUAAUGCCUACAUUAAAAUUAUGGAUUUUGAAGGUGUUAAUGAGAUGCUAAGAUUGAUGGAGAUGGAUAAAGUUGUGUAUAAUGCUGCUACAUAUACACUUUUAAUUGAAUGGUAUGGCAGCUCCGGCAAGAUUGCUGAAGCUGAGAAAGUGUUUGAAAAAAUGCUUGAGAGAGGCGUAGAAGCAGAUAUACAUGUGUUUACUUCAAUUAUUAGUUGGCAAUGUAAGCUGGGGAAUAUGAAAAGAGCUUUUGCGCUGUUUGAUGAGCUGAAUGAGAGAGGCCUUGUUGCAAAUGCUCACACUUAUGGCGCUUUGAUUCAUGGCACUUGCAAUUCCGGACAAUUGGAUGCGGCUGAGAUGUUGGUGAAUGAAAUGCAAAGUCAAGGUCUGGAUAUGAAUUUGGUGAUAUUUAAUACACUUAUAAAUGGGUAUUGCAAAAAAGGAAUGAUAGAUGAAGCUCUAAGGAUGCAGGAUGUAAUGGAGAAGAAAGGAUUUGAGAAUGAUAUAUUCACUUAUAAUACCAUUGCUGGUGGGUUGUGUAAAUUGAAUAGGCAUGAGGAAGCAAAGAGGUGGUUAUUUACAAUGGUAGAAAAAGGUGUGGACCCUAAUGCUGUGAGUUUUACUAUUAUGAUAGACAUACACUGCAAGGAAGGGAACUUGGUGGAAGCAGAGAGGGUUUUUCAAGACAUGAAGAAAAAGGGAGAGAAGCCGAAUGUUGUUACAUAUAACACUUUAAUAGAUGGGUAUAGCAAGAAAGGGAAGCUGAAAGAAGCAUACAGGCUAAAAGAUGAAAUGGAAAGUAUCGGAAUGACUUCAGAUAUCUAUACAUACACAACACUUGUGCACGGGGAAUGUGUUUUCGGGAAGGUAGAAGAGGCCUUGACUCUGCUUAAUGAAGUCUGUCGAAAGGGUUUGGCUAUUAGCAUAGUAACUUACACAGCAAUCAUAUCCGGCUUGUCCAAGGAGGGAAGAUCAGAAGAAGCUUUUAGAUUGUACGAUGAGAUGAUGGCAGCAGGGCUGACCCCUGAUGACAGGGUAUAUACUUCCCUUGUGGCGAACCUUCACAAGACUUAGUUUGGGGGAUUGGCAUCAAACCAUUGACUAGAGAACAUCUAUUAUCUCUUGGGAAGAGUAACCGAAGUAAAGAGGUCAUAUAUUCAGGAAUGAGAUUAUGAUUGAACCAAUAGGGAUGCAAAACAUGCUGGACUUCCAGAUGAAAAACUGAGAAAGUUGCAUUUUAUGGAAAAAGUGCCACUUCAAUACAAAAUUUCUCUGGGCAGAACAAAAUAUUACUUUUCAGGGAUAUGCUCCAUACUUUCUGAGGAACAGAUGGAAAAACAUUUUGAAAGUGAAACUAGCAAUACAUUGGAGCUUGGCAUCUGGAAGGGGCAAACAUAGCAAGGUUAGGAGCAAGAGGUGCCGCACUAGCGAGUACAUCCACAAUUGAAUCACGGAUGGUGAAACCAGAGUUACAAAUGGGAGGCAUAGUGUGUGGAGGGAAGAUAACAGAGGAAGGCAAACAGGUCUUGGAUCAUGGAAAGUUGAAUGUACAAAGAGUGUCUGCUGUACAGGUUUGGGAAUGGGGAUUCCCAGGCUUGUGAGAAUUCCCCUUUCCGAGGGCACUCAAUUGAUGUAGUUAUUCCGGUUGCUUAAGAUGGUAGAGGAAAGAGGGACCAUCCAUGAUAAUUGGAAAGUGUUUCUGUAUCUAAACUAGUAGCAUUUUAAUUUCCACUUCUUUUACAUCCCUUUA